CAAUGGGAAGCGCUGGGACGGUUUAAAUUCAAAAUGACAAGCCAAGCGGUAGACAAGCUGGGAAGGAAGUGGGCGUUAGAGUGGCGGCUGAAUCGCGCGUCAUCACCACGCCCAUGUCUUUUCGAUCCCUACCUAAGGCGCACUCGUCUCCUCAAAACCCGAGUGCUACUCCACACGCGCCCCUGGGCCCCUCACGCGCUUUAAUUUGACUCCGUCACGGCUUCGCUGCUUUCUGCGCCCCCGCCUUUCCCGCCACCUUCCUGUUUGAUGGGAGCUUCCCCCACCCUGGCUGUCCGCUCCUUCCAGCCUGUUCUGUUUUAGCCCUCCCGUCUCCCGGGCCCCGUUAAGCUCUGCCCUUCUGCUCCUGGAUCUCCUGCUCUGUGGCGUUUAGCUCCUUUGCGUUUGACUGAUGGCAAAACAUGUGGAGUAAGUACUCGAGAAUGACAGGAAGCGGGGUCAAUUCCAGACAUUCAUUGUGAGUUGUGCACCAAGAUACAAAGUGACGCCAUUUUGACAGAUCCUGGAAUUGGCAGAAAUUGUCAGGCGGAGAGAUAUCCCCAGGAAUUACCACGUCAUCUGGUGACGAAGAGUGAUUGGUUGGAGAUACCUCCGGAGGUUGAUCAUAGAUAGUGAGGAAGUGAAGUAGGGAGACGGCAGCCUAUCGUGAGGAGACAAAGGUAAACGAACAAGGAGGAAAUAAACAGGGAAUCUCAAAAACUGUGGCUAGAUAAGGGUUGGGGAUCUCACGCGAAAAAGAAUCGGAGAGAGGCAGUUGCUCUGUCUGCAGCCUGAGGCAGUCGAGAGGAACUGGCGGGAGCUGGACCACGCAC